rnacentral:rRNA from 1 species
ACGCUCGACACCACGGGAGGCAGCAGUUGGGAAUAUUGGACAAUGGAGGAAACUCUGAUCCAGUGACGCCGCGUGAAGGAAGAAGGUCUUCGGAUUGUAAACUUAUUUUGUCAGGGAAGAAAAAUGACUGUACCUGAAGAAAAAGCACCGGCUAACUACGUGCUAGCAGCCGCGGUAAUCUGAGCGGGCUGGCAAGGC